GCGGCAUAUCCAACAGAGGGGGAGAUUAAAGAGCCUGAAACAUCGAGUGACUGUGAAACAGCUCAGUCAGUCACAAUCUGCUACUGUAGUCAAGAUGAAGUGAGUGUGCGUUCCCCUUGUUAAUACACUGUAAAAUCUAAUAUUGUGUUUAAUUAAAAAUAUUAAAUAGGCUGAACUAAAUUUUUAUCAAUUUGUUAUUAGAACUCAAUUUAAGUAAGUUACCAGUACUUUUUAUGCAAAAACACUGAUCAACUCAAUUUAUUUGAGUUGUCUUAACUUAGAAAAACUAAGUAAGCUGGAAGUUUUGCUUCUCAGUGCGGAAGGAUGAAAGAUGUGUUUUGAAAAUGCCGCGUCACUACCGUCCUCCUCCCUCUCGGAUCAGUCCGCAUGUUCACGGUGCAUUUUUUCUGGACUAUGUUGAGCAAACCUGGAGAAGCGUCAGCUCAAGAUAUUAUUGUUGUCAUUGCUGUGGAUCUUUACCUGAUACACUGACUUGGCUCGGGACCAGCACUCCUGUUGUUGGACAGAAAGACAUCAACUCAGUCGUAUUUUGGUUUUCCAAUAUAUUAGCAACUGUCAGUGACAUUUAUAUUAAUCAGGCUGAACUUGAAUCAUACUUUAGAUCAGCCUGUUUUACUUAUUGUUUUAUUUGUGCUUUGGUUUGGGGAAGUUGUUUCUUUACUGAUCUUUUCCUGUCUUCUGUUAUUAGACUUGAGAUAUGACUGCACUAUGCUGUUGCUGGUGACCACAGUUAAUUCUACAAGACAUGCUGUGACAACAGGAGAGAUGAGUCCUCCGUCACAGAUGGUGUGGUCAGUGAAGAUGGUCGCCUGCAGGUUCAAGCUCAUUGCAUCUCCAACCCACAUCCACUGCCACUGUACUUAAGGGAAGUUAAAGACUUUCUUCUGCACCUACAUUUGGAUCACCUCGAUCCAUGACAGUCAUUCAGGCAGUAAUGCCUGGCCUGGAAACAAGCCAUCCUUAAAACAUUACAACAUUCCAGCUCAUGUGUUGGAAUGGAAAACAAAUGUGUUGUUUAAAUUAGAGACUGCACUUGUGACAGAACAAUAAAUAUAUUUUAUUUUGAUUAUUUAAGUGAUGUAAGUACAAAACAAACUUGUGGUAGGCCUAAACUUAUUUUCAGAAUAAUUAAAUCUGAGACUUUGUUUCAUUGUAAGAUUAUAACAGUGAUGGCAAUAUAAUUGUUUGUUGUUCAGCAGAACAGUGUCCAGUAUGUUGGCUGUUAUACUUUGUUGUGUUUGAAAAUAAAAGUUGGGCUGAUUUUAACAUCAUUACAAAAAGUGUUGUUAAUUAUUUUUAAUCAUUCAGGUUACCACAAAUUGUUUUUUCAUUUAGUUGAACUUGAAAUGUUUCUCAGUAGGUAAACAAUUAGUAUUGUACAGUCAGAAAUACCAAGUUAUUCUUAAUACUGCAGACUUGCAAUGAAUAAGUUGUCCUAACAGUCAUCUUAAGUAAGCUUUACUAAGUUUUUUUGAGUUCUGGAAACUAAAUAGGUUUUUACACUGUACUCAAAGUGAAUAAGUUGCCUUAACUUAGUCAUCUUAAGUAAACUUUACUCAAUUUUUUUGAGGCAACGGGUUUGCAUAGUUUUUUUGAGUUCUGGGAACUAACGAGGUUGUACAGUGUACUCAAAAUGAGUAGGUUUGCCUACCUUAAUUAUUUUAAGUAAACUUUACUCAUUUUUUUGAGUUCUGGGAACUAAUGAGGCUGUACAGUGUAAAUAGGAACUCCUUUCCACUGGACCUAAGGUAUCAAUACUAUUGAUACCUUUAAAAAGAAACCUCAAGACCCACCUUUACCUUUUUUUACCUUUAUUUAGUUUUAUAUCUUUAUACCAUUUCAGUUGUUGCAUCUUAUUCUGAAUUGUAAAUCACUUUAUGAAUUUCAUUCUGAAAAAGAACCUUGAGUUGGUGAAAUCAGCUGAUUUAUGUUCAUGGCUCAGGCUACGUCCACAUGUAUUUUUGUAAACGGAGAUUUUCUGUUCUCGUCUAAAAAAAACCAAAACAAAUCCCGUCAAUACAUGCAGUUUUGAAAAAAUAUCUCCAUCCACGUGUAAACGCAACAAACAAAGUCAAACGCUGUCAAGAACAUGCCAAAGCAACAGGUGGCGAUAUAAUCCUAACCAUGUAGAAAUGUUGGCCAAUCGGCCAGUCUGGAAGCCUGGGAGGGAAAGAGUAAACAAAGAUGGCGCAUAAAAGCAGUCUUUCUAAAUGGAGGGACAGUAACUGCGUGUAUAUGUACAAGUGUAAAAGCUGCAGAUAGUCAGAUUAACAGCAACAGUAUUUUGUCUAUAUCUGCCAUUGUAGAAAUUCAUCUCAUGUAAAAAAUAACGUGGCGCACAGCGUGACGUAAAAAAAACGCAAACCUUUCACGUUGCGUGACUAAAUCUGUUUUCCUCGUCCACAUGUAAACGCAAAAACAUGAAAAUCUCCACCCUUGCAGGAGUUUUUAAAAAAAAAAUCUCAGUUUUCAGCAUUCCAAAACACAGCGGACAAAAGGCCCAAAUGCAUAGAAAAAGCUCAGUUUUCAAAAAUACCCAUGUACGUGUCGACGUAGCCUCAGUCAAGAGUAAAAACUAGACUAAAUAUAGUACAGCAACCUGUACUAAUUGAAUAUUUGUUGGGGGGUUUUUGCAAAUACUUGCGGAGACCAACUCGUCGCCCGGAUGUUGAAGGUGUUGCAUGUUCAACCUCACAAGGUCAUUGCAUGGGUCUUCUUGUGGGUGGCAGUUUGUCUCCAAACAAUCAUAACCCAACUCGAACUGGUUGCAAUCACUGCUAGACAGAUCAGUGAACGUCUAACUUAAUUGCUGUAUUAUCACAAACAGAUAAUUAUGUAGGAGUGGCAUGGUAAAGAUUAGCACCAUCGCCUCACAGAAAGAAAGCCCUUGAUUUGAAUCCACUGUCCGGCUAGCACCUUUCUAGGUGGACUUUGCUUAUUCUCCCCAAUGUCUAUGUGGGUUCUCUCAGGUACACAGGACUCCUCCCACAGCCUAAAAGCGUGUAUGGUAGGUUAAUUGGUGAUUUGAUUUUAAAUUGGUUGUGAAUAGUUAACUCUCUUUUUGCAAUAGAUAGGCUACUUGUCCAAAGUGUACCCUGCACCUCACCCUGCGGGAGCUGAGAUGGACUCCAGCUCUGUAACCCUGAAAAGCAAGAGAAAAAAGAUGGAUGGAGAUUGCAUGUAAUUGCUAACCUGACCCCAUUCAUUAGCAGAAUGAUUCUAUCUUAUUGCUGUUUUAUUGCAGACUUGAUGAACCAAAGUUGCAACUCACUGCGAGUGGUCAUAGACCAGGUCCCCGUGAUAAAAGCUAUGCUAAAUGCAUGAAGGUUGCAAGUUUAUUGCACACAUUUGCAAUAACUUUUGCCGUACCAGCCACUGUUUUCCUAAUGUGAGUGUAGCACUACGCACUGAAAGCUACUUGGUUAAGCUUUGGCAAUAAAACCUCGGCUCCAAACCUGUUUGGCACGAGACCGGAUUGAAAAAGUACACGUAUCUAAAGAACUCUAUGAAAAAUUUACCCUUCAUAAACUUAAUUUACGACCUCAGUAAACACUUCCCUCAUAAGUUUAUGGCCUUAGCCGCUAAAGUUUCACUGAAGUCAGACUGAUAUUUAUUUUGUGUCAGAAGUGUUAUCUUAUUGGCACUUUGGUGAAAAUGAACCUUGAAGUACUGACGAAGCAGUGCACACAAUAGAACAGCUGCUCCUCUGCUGUCUGUGCUUGCUAACAAGGUGCUUGAUGCACUAAUGCUUCCAUUUAAACUGUCACACUUUUUCAGAAAACAGGACAAAACUGACCAACCACAAAGUAAAAAUGAGUCUGCCGUGGUUACAAACAUCAAUGCACACCUGCAUAUAUUAGACACCCAGGCGUUCUUUUAACUAGAUAUAUUGGAGUCAACAAGCAGCUGUAGCAUGGAUACAGUAAAGCUAAACAGGAGCUCUUCCAGGAGCACCAAGGUGCUGGUGAACUCACCUGUGCAGCACAAACCCUGCCUGAUCGCUCAUCCUCCGGCCCACUGAGAGCUUUCAGAGAGCUGUUGCUGCUCUGCAGACUCACAAAUGGCAAACAGGAAGGAGCUGCACACGAUUCAGGAUCCAGCGUGUGUCUGUGGACCAGGCGGCAGCGUGGGUGUGUUUGAUUAAGGCCACUGGACACGCAUGUUGAGCAGAGGACCAAUUUUGUCAUCCAUGGCUAAUAAUGAAUGUCCCACAGCUGAUAUUUUGAUAUUGUGAGCUGAUCUCAGGUCGCAUGUUAAUGGGACUAAAUGUUGUCACAUAGGACUUUAAUAGUAAUUUGCUGACUUCUGAAUCCAAUGGUACACACACACGAAAAGCUUGUUUUCAUUGAGCUGGAUUUACUAACAAUUCAUCUGAUAAACAACAUCUCAGUUAGAAUUUCAACAUCCAGGAACAGUGUGUACCAUUUAAAAGGUGACCACAUUAAAAUGUGGUCAGACGGAUGAAUUAUUGGAAGCAGGUCACCAGCUGUCAGCUCAGAGAGGAAACCUCACUAAGCCUCUGAUUCUUUUUAAGACCUCAGACAGAAUCCACCAACAUUAGGACUUUCAACAUUUCUUAAGCCUGCACCUUUCUGUCAUCUCAGAAGCCACACUGACGCUCAAACGCACACAUUAAAGCGAGUGUUUGUGGGCGACUCAUCGGAGGAGAAGUGUGGAGGACAGAUUUCUGCUGGAAAUUAUGGUUUAAUAUUUAAACAGCUGUGCUCCUUAUCGCAGGGAGGAUAACAUGAGCAGUGAACAUGUGCAAUCACGGCGCUGUUGUUUCUCUCUCAUUUAACAGCAUAUCAGCACUGCGUGUGAAACCAACAUUUGCUUUUCAAGGACACAUUUUCAACUUGGAGACCAAAAUAACACUAAAACUGAAGCUUGUAGAAGAACUUUCAGAGCCAAAACUUUAUGAACACAGUACCAGCUACUUCUGGUGUGUAGAUUCACAGUUACAGUAUAAAGAAGACAGAUUCUUGUGUAGCUUCCUUAUAAUCACCAAAGUUAUAAGAAAAAUGUUAAAGACUAGUGAGACACACAAAUACAUAUACUGUAUACAUAACAACUAAAUAAUGUUAAAUUAAAU
ensembl:lncRNA